rnacentral:rRNA from 1 species
GACGAACGCUGGCGGCGUGCCUAACACAUGCAAGUCGAGCGGGGCAUUUUAAGGAGCAAUCUGAGGGAUGCCUAGCGGCGGACGGGUGAGUAACGCGUGAGCAACCUGUCUCUUACAGGGGGAUAACACAGCGAAAGUUGUACUAAUACCGCAUAAGACCACGGCCCCGCAUGGGGGCGAGGUCAAAGGAGAGAUCCGGUAAGAGGUGGGCUCGCGUCCCAUUAGGUAGUUGGUGAGGUAACGGCCCACCAAGCCAACGAUGGGUAGCCGAUCUGAGAGGAUGAACGGCCACACUGGAACUGAGAGACGGUCCAGACUCCUACGGGAGGCAGCAGUGGGGAAUAUUGGGCAAUGGGCGAAAGCCUGACCCAGCAACGCCGCGUGAGGGAAGAAGGUUUUCGGAUUGUAAACCUCUGUCCUCAGCGAAGAGCAAGAGACGGUAACUGAGGAGGAAGCCCCCGGNUAACUACGUGCCAGCAGCCGCGGUAAAGUAGACGU